rnacentral:tmRNA from 1 species
UGAUUGGAUUACGCAUGCAUCGUGCGCUAUAAUGAAUCUGUCAGGGAUACCUGACUAUGACGAUAAAUAUUGGUUAGAAUAGGUGACUUGGACCCGGGGGCAGUACCCGGCGCCUCCACUUCGGACUUGCCUCAGGGCAACAUACGGGGGCGACACAGCUUCGACAAGCGCAAUAAAGGGUCAGUGUUCGUUCGUGAUUGUACCGUCGUUAUCGGGCAAAAAAAGUAUAGAUGCCAAUGUUUCAAGCAUCUCGGGUGUCGCUGCAAACUCUAACCGCUCUAGUAAGCGGAGCAAGAUUGCAAACAGCAAUGGCCAAGGCCUUGCGAUAGCUGCCUAAUUAGCCUAACGGCGAAUUAGUAGGCUUUACACUCGCGGUUUGAGGGCGACCGGGCAACAGAACGCCCUCACU